rnacentral:rRNA from 1 species
UGGGGAAUUUUGGACAAUGGGCGCAAGCCUGAUCCAGCAAUGCCGCGUGCAGGAUGAAGGCCUUCGGGUUGUAAACUGCUUUUGUACGGAACGAAAAAGCUCUUUCUAAUACAGGGGGUGAAUGACGGUACCGUAAGAAUAAGCACCGGCUAACUACGUGCCAGCAGCCGCGGUAAUACGUAGGGUGCAAGCGUUAAUCGGAAUUACUGGGCGUAAAGCGUGCGCAGGCGGUUUUGUAAGACAGAGGUGAAAUCCCCGGGCUCAACCUGGGAACUGCCUUUGUGACUGCUAAGCUGGAGUGCGGCAGAGGGGGAUGGAAUUCCGCGUGUAGCAGUGAAAUGCGUAGAUAUGCGGAGGAACACCGAUGGCGAAGGCAAUCCCCUGGGCCUGCACUGACGCUCAUGCACGAAAGCGUGGGGAGCAAACA